UAAGAUAUGAUUGCAUUGUUGGAUGCACGUUACUUGUUUAUGUAUUUAUGUUGAUUUGGUGACGGAGACUAAGGACAAAUAAGAAUGGGAUGUGAUAUGAUAAAUGAAUAAGAUGCCAGCCUCACUAGAUAUCCUGAGAGAUGAUUGACGGACCGGGUUCAUAAGGAACCCUACCGUGAACGUUGUCUCAUACAGGAUGGGGUAUGGAGACU
rnacentral:lncRNA from 1 species